CCUACGGGUGGCAGCAGUGGGGGAUAUUGCACAAUGGGGGAAACCCUGAUGCAGCGACGCCGCGUGAGUGAAGAAGUAUUUCGGUAUGUAAAGCUCUAUCAGCAGGGAAGAAAAUGACAGUACCUGACCAAGAAGCCCCGGCUAACUACGUGCCAGCAGCCGCGGUAAUACGUAGGGGGCAAGCGUUAUCCGGAUUUACUGGGUGUAAAGGGAGCGUAGACGGCAGCAUAAGUCUGGAGUGAAAGGCCGGGGCCUAACCCCGGAACUGCUUUGGAAACUGUGCAGCUAGAGUGCAGGAGGGGCAGGUGGAAUUCCUGGUGUAGCGGUGAAAUGCGUAGAUAUUAGGAGGAACACCAGCGGCGAAGGCGGCCUACUGGACUGAAACUGACGUUGAGGCUCGAAAGCGUGGGGAGCAAACAGGAUUAGAUACCCGAGUAGUC
rnacentral:rRNA from 1 species